CCCUAUCACGCAUUUCGACUUGGAUUGAAAUUUUCUCCGUUUGGCGACUUUGGUAUCAUGCGUUCCGUUCCCGUUCAGUUCAACUUCGAAAUUUACAAUUCUGCCUAUCAUGCAUUUCGAUCGUAGCUCCGUUUUGCUAAGUUGCAAUUUUGUUGGCGGAGAACUUUUUGUGUUUUUAUUUUGCUGAGAAAAUUUUAUUAUUUGCGUGAUUUUUUUUUUAAUUUUCUAAAAAUGUCAAAAACAACAACACCAGAGCAAUAUGGAAAAUUGGCAGAUAUGAUGGAGAGUAAGCUAGAUAUAGCCAACGGUUUCCACCAGCGUCCUAAGGAAGAUGUACAGGCUUUUUGGAAAGAGCCCGUCAUUCAUCUGGAAGGGAUCGCACAUAUCUCGUAAUCUUCUCCUUUCAAUUCUCACCCCAGCAUUCUGAGAUGCGCUGCUCUCCUCCUCAACCAGUAAUAUCGCCGCGGAUAAAGAUUCCAUAGUUACGUUU